GGGCUCAUGGUCUAAUGGCAGAACACAUGCCUAGUAAGCAUGAAAUCCAAGUUCGAUUCUUGGUGAGCCCU
rfam:Thecamonas trahens ATCC 50062 unplaced genomic scaffold supercont1.22, whole genome shotgun sequence.